ACUAGGCAUGGUGGUGCAUGCCUGAAAUCCCAGUAACUCAGGAGGCUGAGGCAGGAGGAUCAUAAGUUUGAGUCUAGCCUUAGCAAUCUAGCAAGGCCCUGAUCAACUUAGAGAGACCCUGUCUCAA
rnacentral:sRNA from 1 species